rnacentral:rRNA from 1 species
GACGGAAGGUGCAAGCGUUGCUCGGAAUCACUGGGCGUAAAGGGUGCGUAGGCGGCCGUGCAAGUCUGGCGUGAAAUUUCGGGGCUCAACCCCGAACUUGCGGUGGGUACGGGCAGACUAGAGUGUGGUAGGGGAGACUGGAAUUCCUGGUGUAGCGGUGAAAUGCGCAGAUAUCAGGAGGAACACCGGUGGCGAAGGCGGGUCUCUGGGCCGAUACUGACGCUGGAGGAGCGAAAGCGUGGGGAGCGAACAGG